rnacentral:rRNA from 1 species
AGGAUGAACGCUAGCGGCAGGCCUAAUACAUGCAAGCCGAGGGGCAGCAUAGUCUUCGGACUGAUGGCGACCGGCAGACGGGUGCGUAACGCGUAUGCAACCUACCCACUACAGGGGGAUAGCCCGGGGAAACCCGGAUUAAUACUCCAUAAAAACAGGGGUCUCACAUGGGACAAUAUGUUAAAGAUUUAUCGGUAGUGGAUGGGCAUGCGUCUGAUUAGUUAGAUGGUGAGGUAACGGCUCACCAUGACUAUGAUCA